rnacentral:rRNA from 1 species
GAUGAACGCUGGCGGCGUGCCUAAUACAUGCAAGUCGAGCGAACAGACGAGGAGCUUGCUCCUCUGACGUUAGCGGAGGACGGGUGAGUAACACGUGGAUACUCUACCUAUAAGACUGGGAUAACUUCGGGAAACCGGAGCUAAUACCGGAUAAUCUAUUGAACCGUAUGGUUCAAUAGUGAAAGUCGGUUUUGCUGUCACUUAUAGAUGGAUCCGCGCCGCAUUAGCUAGUUGGUAAGGUAACGGCUUACCAAGGCUACGAUGCGUAGCCGACCUGAGAGGGGGGUCGGCCACACGGGAAGUGAGACACGGUCCAGACUCCUACGGUAGGCAGCAGUAGGGAAUCUUCCGCAAUGGUCGAAAGCCUGACGGAGCAACGCCGCGUGAGUGAUGAAGGUCUUCGGAUCGUAAAACUCUGUUAUUAGGGAAGAACAAAUGUGUAAGUAACUAUGCACGUCUUGACGGUACCUAAUCAGAAAGCCACGGCUAACUACGUG